AAGACUAUACUCUCAGGGAUCAUUUCUAUAGUUUGCUACUAGAGAAGUCUCUCUGAAUUUGUAGAGCACCGCUGG
rnacentral:snoRNA from 1 species